AUUGAACGCUGGCGGCAUGCCUUACACAUGCAAGUCGAACGGCAGCACGGGAGCAAUCCUGGUGGCGAGUGGCGAACGGGUGAGUAAUAUAUCGGAACGUGCCCAGUCGUGGGGGAUAACGCAGCGAAAGCUGUGCUAAUACCGCAUACGAUCUACGGAUGAAAGCGGGGGAUCGCAAGACCUCGCGCGAUUGGAGCGGCCGAUAUCAGAUUAGGUAGUUGGUGGGGUAAAAGCCCACCAAGCCGACGAUCUGUAGCUGGUCUGAGAGGACGACCAGCCACACUGGAACUGAGACACGGUCCAGACUCCUACGGGAGGCAGCAGUGGGGAAUUUUGGACAAUGGGCGCAAGCCUGAUCCAGCAAUGCCGCGUGCAGGAUGAAGGCCUUCGGGUUGUAAACUGCUUUUGUACGGAACGAAACGGUCCGCCCUAAUACGGUGGGCUAAUGACGGUACCGUAAGAAUAAG
rnacentral:rRNA from 1 species